ACACUUACCUGGCAGGGGAGAUGCCAUGAUCAGGAAGGUGGUUUCCCUGGGGCGAGGCUGAUCCCCUGCACUCCGGACGUGCUGACUCCUACGACUUCCCCAAACGUGGGAAACUCAACUGCAUAAUUUGUGGUAGUGGGGGACUGCAUUCACGCUUUCCCCUA